rnacentral:tmRNA from 1 species
GGGGUCGACUGGAUUUGACAGCGAGUCCGAUUAAAUGGUAAGCAGAUCGAGCUCUGGACUACAGCUCGUAAAUAUUCUAGUACCAAACUUUAAAUGGCGAAAAUAAAUACGCUCUUGCAGCCUAAUAACCGAAUUAUAGUAAGUUAAGGCCUUGUCCCGCCAGGCGGGAAAGUGAGAUGUCUCAGAACAGCCCUUGUUGACGGCGGUUCAUUAUGAGACACCAUUAAAGUCAACAUAGAAAUCUUAAGGCUUUGGUAAGAUUUUAAAAUUAAGAAGCUAAGUAAUAUUUAGGCAGUUUUCAGUCAGAAUAUUAUCGAAAAUUAAAUGAAAACUAAAUCUGUAGAAAGCUAUUUUGUCGCUUGUUUGGACGAGGGUUCGAUUCCCUCCGACUCCACCA